rnacentral:ncRNA from 1 species
GUCAGAGUAGGUGGCAUGCGUUAAGUGUUAGAGAAUGGGACGUUGUCUCUAAACGAAAAGCCUAAAGAUUUUUUUUAGGAAUAAAAUUUUAGGCUUGCGGUAUGUCAUUGCGUCCGCUGCU